rnacentral:rRNA from 1 species
CCUACGGGAGGCUGCAGUCGGGAAUAUUUCUCAAUGGGGGAAACCCUGAAGCAGCAACGCCGCGUGGAGGAUGAAGGUUUUCGGAUUGUAAACUCCUUUUGUUAGAGAAGAUAAUGACGGUAUCUAACGAAUAAGCACCGGCUAACUCCGUCCCAGCAGCCGCGGUCAUACGGAGGCUGCAAGCGUUACUCGGAAUCACUGGGCGUAAAGAGCGCGUAGGCGGGAUAGCAAGCCGGAUGUGAAAUCCUAUGGCUUAACCAUAGAACGGCAUUUGAAACUGUUAGUCUAGAGUAUGGGAGGGGUAGGUGGAAUUCUUGGUGUAGGAGUAAAAUCCGUAGAGAUCGAGAGGAAUACUCAUUGCGAAGGCGACCUGCUAGAACAUAACUGACGCUGAGGCGCGAAGGCGUGGGGAGCGAACAGGAUUAGAUACCCGAGUAGUC